AGGACGAACGCUGGCGGCGUGCUUAACACAUGCAAGUCGAGCGGAAAGGCCCUUCGGGGUACUCGAGCGGCGAACGGGUGAGUAACACGUGAGUAACCUGCCCUUGGCUUUGGGAUAACCCUCGGAAACGGGGGCUAAUACCGGAUAUUCACAUUGCGUGGCAUCACGUGGUGUGGAAAGUUUUUCGGCCAGGGAUGGGCUCGCGGCCUAUCAGCUUGUUGGUGGGGUAAUGGCCUACCAAGGCGACGACGGGUAGCCGGCCUGAGAGGGCGACCGGCCACACUGGGACUGAGACACGGCCCAGACUCCUACGGGAGGCAGCAGUGGGAAUAUUGCACAAUGGGCGGAAGCCUGAUGCAGCGACGCCGCGUGAGGGAUGACGGCCUUCGGGUUGUAAACCUCUUUCAGCAGGGACGAAGCGCAAGUGACGGUACCUGCAGAGAAGCGCCGGCCACUACGCGCAGCAGCCGC
rnacentral:rRNA from 1 species